rnacentral:rRNA from 1 species
CGGAUUAAGGAAACCGGCGCACGGGUGCGUAACGCGUAUGCAACUUGCCCUUAUCAGGAGGAUAGCCCGGGGAAACUCGGAUUAAUACUCCAUAAGAUUUUGAUUGGCAUCGAUUAAAAUUGAAAGAUUUAUUGGAUAAGGAUAGGCAUGCGUCAGAUUAGUUAGUUGGUAGUGUAACGGACUACCAAGGCGAUGAUCUGUAGGGGGCCUGAGAGGGUGAACCCCCACACUGGUACUGAGACACGGACCAGACUCUACGGGAGGCAGCAGUGAGGAAUAUUGGACAAUGGAGGGAACUCUGAUCCAGCCAUCCCGCGUGCAGGAAGACGGCCUAUGGGUUGUAAACUGCUUUUGUAUGGGGAUAAAUCUACCUACGUGUAGGUAGUUGAAGGUACCAUACGAAUAAGCAUCGGCUAACUCCGUGCCAGCAGCCGCGGUAAUACGGAGGAUGCAAGCGUUAUCCGGAUUCAUUGGGUUUAAAGGGUCCGUAGGCGGGCUGAUAAGUCAGUGGUGAAAUUUUGUCGCUCAACGAUAAAACUGCCAUUGAUACUGUUAGUCUUGAGUGAUAUUGAAGUAGCUGGAAUGUGUAGUGUAGCGGUGAAAUGCAUAGAUAUUACACAGAACACCGAUUGCGAAGGCAGGUUACUAAGUAUUAACUGACGCUGAAGGACGAAAGCGUGGGGAGCGAACAGGAUUAGAUACCCUGGUAGUCCACGCA